rnacentral:piRNA from 1 species
UGCAGGUGGAGCUGAAGAGCCAAGAG